rnacentral:rRNA from 1 species
UGGGGAAUAUUGCACAAUGGGCGAAAGCCUGAUGCAGCGACGCCGCGUGAGGGAUGACGGCCUUCGGGUUGUGAAAUCCUCUUUCAAGCCAGGGAAGAAGUCGGAAGGUGACGGUACCUGCAGAAGAAGCACCGGCUAACUACGUGCCAGCAGCCGCGGUAAUACGUAGGGUGCGAGCGUUGUCCGGAAUUAUUGGGCGUAAAGAGCUUUGUAGGCGGUUUGUCGCGUCUGCUGUGAAAAAUCCGGGGCUCAACCCCGGACUUGCAGUGGGUACGGGCAGGCUAGAGUGUGGUAGGGAGACUGGAAUUCCUGGUGUAGCGGUGGAAUGCGCAGAUAUCAGGAGGAACACCGAUGGCGAAGGCAGGUCUUCUUGGGCCACUACUGACGCUGAGAAGCGAAAGCAUGGGGAGCGAACA